CGCCUCUCUGCCUCGCGGACGUCCAGACUUCCGAGGCCUGGCUGUCUGCAGGGCGGCCAUUGCUGUGCGCGCGCGCGCGGGCAUGUGCAUGGUUCAGGGAAGAGGCUGCAUUUCACAGAGACUCUGUCCCAGGAGAGUCUUGCUCUAUCGCCCAGGCUGGAGUGCAGUGGCGUGAUCUCGGCUUAUUGUAACCUCCACCUCCCAGGUUCAAGCAAUUCUCGUGCCUCAGCCUCCUGAGUACCUGGGACUAGGGGUACGCACCACCACGCCCAGCUAAUUUUUGUAUUUUUAGUAGAGAUGGGGUUUCACCAUGAUGGCCAGGCUGAUUUCGAACUCCUGGCCUUAAGUGAGCCUCCUGCCUCGUUCUCCCAAAGUGCUGGGAUUACAGGCGUGAGCCACCAUGCCCAGCCGGCAUUUUCAUCUGGACUCUGCCAUGGGGCUCAGCAAAUCAGAUGUGACCUGGUGACAGGUGCCAAGAAGGUCUGGCGACCACAGGUUUCUUGUCGGUUUCUGCCUGGGACCCCCGCACCUCCCUACCAGUAUUCCCAACCCAACGAAAGACCGGCCAAGUACAAACCAAGGGCAGCCCUGAAGCCCAGGACCAUGAGGCCUGGAAGGCCCCAGGACAGGUGAUUUGUGGCCCUGGUGUCUCAGGUCAGGAGCAGGGCAGAGCCACCUUCCUCCCUCCCUGUGCGGGGCUGCAUGAGCUCAGGGACCUUUGGACCUGAGAAAGGUCAGGCUCACUUCCUCCCCGUGCCUGCGGUUGGCCGCAGGGGGAAUAUUCUCCUGACCCGAGUCCCGAAGCCCUGGGCGUGGAGUUUCCCUGGACUGGGAGAAAGUAAACACCGAGGGACUUGCCAAGAGGAAAUGGAGAAGCCCAGGUGUUCUGGGCGGAGCUGAGUGUCCCGCAGGGGGUUCCGCAGCUCCUCGCCUCUGGAAGACCAAGGACAGCUUUCCCCAGGGCUACAGCCUCACGCUCCCCUCCCAUCGUGGCUGGGCCUUUACUUGGGGGUGAGUGUCCUACAGACGAGGGGCUUAAAGCUACAGGAAUGCCUCGUCUCGCAGAGCUGGAGGCUGGAAGGCAGAUCGGCCUGUGAGGGCCGCGGUCACUCUUGGUCCUGAGCCCUCCUUGUCCGGCUGCUGGUGUCACGGGCACUCCUUGGGGUUCCUUGGCUUGUGGGAGCAUCGCGCCGGCCCCGCCUCUGUCAUCAGGCCGCCUCCCCUUCUCUUCUCGAAGGACACCUGCUACGGCGAGGGCCUCUCCAGGAUGACCUCAUCUCGUUCUCCACUAAUCACAGCUGCAAAGAUUUAUUUCCAAAUAAAGUCGCCUUCUUGGGUUCCAGGGGACCUGAUUUUGGGAGGCGCUGUUCCCCCAGCACAGGGAUACAGCAGGCCCUUGGCCUCAUCGGACAUCUGGUGCCCGCGCGCCCUCUCACUCACGUUGUCCAGGCCUCUGCCCUUCUCAACACCCGGACGUGGGCGUUCAGGUGUCCUUCCUGCCCUGGCGUAUGCCCCACUUAGCUGAGUGGGGGGCUUAGACCUCCGCCCCAUCUGCAGUCCUCCUGGGGCCUGCCAAUCAGACCCCCUGCAGCUGCAUGGUCUUGGGGCAUUGCUGUAAGGCCCUGGGGCCUUUCUGAAUCCAUCUGCAAGCUGGAGCUGAGUCCAGGAGCUGAGGCCGGGAGCAGGAGGUGAGGUUGCUAGCUGAGGCUGGGAGCAAGAGCUGAGGCCACUGGAGCUGAGGCUGGGAGCUGAGAUGUGGAGCUGGGGCUGAGGCUGGGAGGAGGGGUUGAGGAUACCUGGAGUUUGGGAGCUGGGCUGAGAGGCCAGGGAGGAGAGCCCUGCCACCACCCUGCUGCCCCCCCUCGCCACCCCCCUGCUGCCACCUUGCUGCCACCCUGCCUCCUGUUCCCAGCCCUCUGGCCAGUCCCUGUGUUCGUUUUCUGUUUUCUACUUACCAGAAACUUAGCAGCUUGAAACAGCACCCGCUCGGCACACAUUCCUUUUGGGAGUGUGAAAUGGUGCAGCUGCUGUGGGAAAUGGUCUGGUGAUUCCUCGCAAAGCUAAACAAUUGCCAUAGCACCCUGCAGUUCCACACCUGGGGAUGCACAGCCAGAAAUGAAGACGGGUGUCUGAGCAAAAACUCGGACAUGAGUGUUCACAGCAGCGUUAUUCACAGUAGCUAGAAGGUGGAAACAACCCAAGUGUCCGUGGACCGAGGAACAGAUCAACAGGCCACGGCGCACGCACGACGGAGUAUUGUGCAGCCAGAAAAAGGGUGAAGCUCCCUUACACAUUAUGGCGUGGGUGAGCCUCAGAAACAUGGUGCUAAGUGACUGCGUUUAUAUAAAAAGCUUGCACUGAUGUAAAGUGUCUAGAGUAGAGAAACCCAGGAGAUGAAGUGGAUUCGUGGCUUCCAGGGCCUGAGGGCAGAGGGAAGGGACCGGCUGCUGAUGGGUCUCCGUUUGGGAAGAUGAACGAGUUCUGGAGCUUGCUUGAGGCAGUGUCUGCACAACAGUGUGAGUGCACGGAAUGUGGCUGAAUUGGACUCUUUAAAAUAGUUCAGGUGGGCAAUGUUAUGUUAUGUGUGUUUUACUACCAUACAAAUAAGUAAAUAAAUGGACAAGCCUGCACCAUCUUGUAGCUCACACCUGCAGGUCAGGAGCCGGCCUGGGUCCCCUGCUGGGGCCUCACCUGGGGCUCAGGCCUCCUCCCAGGCUGGUUCAGAAUCCAGGUCCUUGUGGGUGUGGGACUGAGGUCCCCGUUUUCUCGCAGCUGUUGUCAGGGACUGCCCUCAGCUCCUAGGGCUUUCUCUCGGGUCCCUGCCUGGUGGCCUCUGGUGGCCCCUCCAUCUUCAAGCAGCAGGGGCCGGUGGAGUCCCCCCAUGAGUGGCUCUUUCUGGCCAUCCCUUCUGCACCCGCCAGAGGAAACUCCGCUUCUAAAGUGUUGGUGUGAUGAGGUCAGGCCCGGAGGCACCUCCCUGUUUUAAGGUCAGCGGGUUGGUGAACUUCACCAUGCCUUCAGAAUCCCUCUGCCACACAACACAGCCGUCUUGGGAGUAACACUGGAGGCAGAGACCACGGGCGACCUCCAAGAUCUGCUUACAACAGUCGUUUCAACAGAGUUGAGUCAGCUUGGGGCUUCUCCGAGUGACUGUGCACAGGGGUCCUGGGGCUUCUCCGAGUGACUGCGCGCAAGCGUCCUGGGACUUCUCCAAGUGACUGCGCACAGGCAUCCUGGGGCUUCUCCGAGUGACUGCGAACAGGCGUCCUGGGGCUUCUCUGAGCGACUGCGCACAGGCGUCCCUGGGGUCCCUGGGGUUAGGAUGCUGGCGCUGGCUCAGCAGGUCUGGGAAGGGCCAGGAUUCCAGUGCCCAGGCUACCGUCCAGGUCCACACCAUGCCCCAAUGGACGCUCUCCAGCCCCUCCCUGAGGCUGGGGCCAUGGGAUGAGCUCAGUGGCAUCCAGAUCAGAGUCCACCCCCUCCACACCUUGCCAUGGUCCUGAUGUCACCAAGUGCAUUGUAGCCCUAACCCUCGUGGACCCCCCUUCAUGGGGUGGUGCAGGCAGCGUGUUCUCUGAGGGUAAGGACAGGGCCCAACAGGGGCUGCCCCAAGGAGCCAGUGGAGCCAUGGUUCCCCACCUGCCCACUCGUCUGCCCACCCUCCCCUGAGUGGAGGCAGAGGAGCUGAGAACGGCCUGCCGGCCAGCCCUGGGAAAACCAGGUUCCUUAUGGUCUGCUCAGCCAUAGAGCCGGAGGCCCCUCCCAGCAGCCCCUGCCUGCCCACUCUGCCAGAGCUUCUCCAUGCAACUUUUCUGCAGCAUAGUCCUGUUGCACAAACACCUCUCUCUGCUUUUUCCUUUCUUUUUUUUUUUUUUAAUUUAACCAUAUCUGCUGUAUCAUACAAGCACUCAGGAUCUUGGUUGCAAUGAAUGGAAACCUAUGCUAAAUAACUUUCUCAGAGGGCUCUUGGGGCUCUGGAAACCAGACAGAAGGCUGGAGAAUGAGGGCUGGGCAUAGGCAGGUCCAGGGAGGCCAAGAGGGCAGCCUGGCUGUGAGGCAGCUGCUGGUACAGCCCAGACUGUCCCUGCUUCUGGGUCACUUGCUCCAGACCCAAAGUUCUGCCCAGGAAUGUCUGGUGGUCAAACUCCAGCCAUGUGGCUCCCUCUUUUCAGAGGUGAACUCAGUCUUCACUGAUAAGGGUAAGGUUCCUGGUG
rnacentral:lncRNA from 1 species